rnacentral:rRNA from 1 species
UACGGAGGGGGCCAGCGUUGUUCGGAAUUAUUGAGCGUAAAGGGCGCGUAGGCGGUUAGUCAAGUUGGAGGUGAAAUCCCUCGGAUCAACCGAGAAACUGCCCUCAAAACUGGCUGGCUUGAGUCCCGGAGAGGACAGUGUAAUUCCCAGUGUAGCGGUGAAAUGCGUACAUGCUGGGAGGAACACCGAGGCGAAGGCGGCUACCUGGACUGCUACUGAUGCUGAGGGGCGAAAGCGUGGGAAGCAAACGGGAUUAUAUACCCUGGUAGACCACGCUGUAAACGAUGGGCACUUGGUGCUGCGGGUAUCGCGACCUGCAGUCACGCAGCUAACGCAUUAAGUGCCCCGCCUGGGGAGUACGGUUGCAAGGCUGAAACUCAAAGGAACUGUCGCGGGUCCGCACAAGCGGUGGAUCAUGUGGUAUAAUUGGACGCAACCCGAAGAUCCUUACCUGGGUCUGAAUUGCGGCGGAUCGCUCCAGAGAUGGAGUUUCCCUUCGGGGCUGCCGUGAAGGCGCUGCAUGGCUGUCGUCAGCUCCUGUCGUGAGAUGAUGGGUUAAGUCUCGCAACGAGCGCAACGCCUGCGCCUAGCAGCCAGCGUUUUGGCCGGGAACUCUAGGGGGACUGCCGGUGAUAAUCCGGAGGAAGGCGGGGAUGACGUCAAGUCACCAUGGCCUUUAUGUCCAGGGCUACACACGUGCUACAAUGCACGGUACAAAGGGUUGCGAUCCCUGCGA